CAGCAGCCGCGGGAAUACAGAGGAUGCGAGCGUUAAUCGGAUUUACUGGGCGUAAAGCGUGCGUAGGCGGCUUUUUAAGUCGGAUGUGAAAUCCCCGAGCUUAACUUGGGAAUUGCAUUCGAUACUGGGAAGCUAGAGUAUGGGAGAGGAUGGUAGAAUUCCAGGUGAAGCGGUGAAAUGCGUAGAGAUCUGGAGGAAUACCGAUGGCGAAGGCAGCCAUCUGGCCUAAUACUGACGCUGGGGUACGAAAGCAUGGGGAGCAAACAGGAUUAGAUACCCCCGUAGUCCCUGUCUCUUAUAA
rnacentral:rRNA from 1 species